rnacentral:rRNA from 1 species
AACGAACGCUGGCGGCAUGCCUAACACAUGCAAGUCGAACGAGACCUUCGGGUCUAGUGGCGCACGGGUGCGUAACGCGUGGGAAUCUGCCCUUGGGUUCGGAAUAACAGUUGGAAACGACUGCUAAUACCGGAUGAUGACGUAAGUCCAAAGAUUUAUCGCCCAAGGAUGAGCCCGCGUAGGAUUAGCUAGUUGGUGAGGUAAAGGCUCACCAAGGCGACGAUCCUUAGCUGGUCUGAGAGGAUGAUCAGCCACACUGGGACUGAGACACGGCCCAGACUCCUACGGGAGGCAGCAGUGGGGAAUAUUGGACAAUGGGCGAAAGCCUGAUCCAGCAAUGCCGCGUGAGUGAUGAAGGCCUUAGGGUUGUAAAGCUCUUUUACCCGGGAUGAUAGUGACAGUACCGGGAGAAUAAGCUCCGGCUAACUCCGUG